rnacentral:lncRNA from 1 species
GCGGAGGGGCAGGUCCCAGUGCUGGAGACCGAGGCUACCUCCUGGGCCACCUGGCGGCCGUUGUGGUGAAGCAGGUACUGCUGGGCCGGAAGGUGGUGGUGCGCUGCGAGAGUGUCAACGUUUCUGACAAUUUCUACAGAAAUAAGCUGAAGUACCCGGCCUUCUUCCGCAGGCGGAUGAGCACCAACCCUGAUGAGGCCCCUGUUAUUUCCUGGCCCCCAGCAGCGUCUUCCAGCCGACAGUGCAGGGCCCGCGGUCCGCAAGGCCCAGCGAGGCCAGGCUGCCUUGGACGCCGAGGUGUUCGAUGGAAUCCCACCGCCCUACAGCAGGAAAACUAGAUGGGUGUUUCUGCUGCCCGCAAGGCUGUGCAUCUGAAGCCCACAAGAGAGUUUGCCUACGUGGGGCGCCUGGCUCAAGAGGCUGGCUGGAAGUACCAGGCAGUGACAGCCACCCUGGAGGAGAAGAGGAAGGAGAAGGCCGAGACCCACUACCAGAAGAAGAAAUAGCUCAUAAGGCUGCAGAAACAGGCCAAAAAGAACGUGGAGAAGAAAACUGACAAAUACACAGAGGCCCUCAAGACCCAU